CAGUCGAGCGGACAGAUGGGAGCUUGCUCCCUGAUGUUAGCGGCGGACGGGUGAGUAACACGUGGGUAACCUGCCUGUAAGACUGGGAUAACUCCGGGAAACCGGGGCUAAUACCGGAUGCUUGAUUGAACCGCAUGGUUCAAUUAUAAAAGGUGGCUUUUAGCUACCACUUACAGAUGGACCCGCGGCGCAUUAGCUAGUUGGUGAGGUAACGGCUCACCAAGGCAACGAUGCGUAGCCGACCUGAGAGGGUGAUCGGCCACACUGGGACUGAGACACGGCCCAAACUCCUACGGGAGGCAGCAGUAGGGAAUCUUCCGCAAUGGACGAAAGUCUGACGGAGCAACGCCGCGUGAGUGAUGAAGGUUUUCGGAUCGUAAAACUCUGUUGUUAGGGAAGAACAAGUACCGUUCGAAUAGGGCGGUACCUUGACGGUACCUAACCAGAAAGCCACGGCUAACUACGUGCCAGCAGCCGCGGUAAUACGUAGGUGGCAAGCGUUGUCCGGAAUUAUUGGGCGUAAAGCGCGCGCAGGCGGUUUCUUAAGUCUGAUGUGAAAGCCCCCGGCUCAACCGGGGAGGGUCAUUGGAAACUGGGGAACUUGAGUGCAGAAGAGGAGAGUGGAAUUCCACGUGUAGCGGUGAAAUGCGUAGAGAUGUGGAGGAACACCAGUGGCGAAGGCGACUCUCUGGUCUGUAACUGACGCUGAGGCGCGAAAGCGUGGGGAGCGAACAGGAUUAGAUACCCUGGUAGUCCACGCCGUAAACGAUGAGUGCUAAGUGUUAGAGGGUUUCCGCCCUUUAGUGCUGCAGCAAACGCAUUAAGCACUCCGCCUGGGGAGUACGGUCGCAAGACUGAAACUCAAAGGAAUUGACGGGGGCCCGCACAAGCGGUGGAGCAUGUGGUUUAAUUCGAAGCAACGCGAAGAACCUUACCAGGUCUUGACAUCCUCUGACAACCCUAGAGAUAGGGCUUCCCCUUCGGGGGCAGAGUGACAGGUGGUGCAUGGUUGUCGUCAGCUCGUGUCGUGAGAUGUUGGGUUAAGUCCCGCAACGAGCGCAACCCUUGAUCUUAG
rnacentral:rRNA from 1 species